UGCAGGCAAGAAGAUGGAACUGGAAAAUAUCAUCUGAAUGAGGACUGAAGUCAAGGACUGCUGUGGUUGAAUUAAGGAAAGGCUGGAAGAAGCUGAAGAGGUUGGCGACCCCAAAAGAAGACCAGAAGUCUCAACUCUCCCAGACUCCUGAGAUCUCUCAGACAUUGAGUCCCCAACCAGCAGCAUACAAGAACUGGUGGGAGGACCCUGACGCAUAUACAGCAGAGGACUGCCUGGUCUGGCCUCAGUGAGAGAAUCCUUGCCUAACCCUUUAGAGACUUGAGGACCCAGGAAGUGGGGAGACCUGGUCAGUGUCUUCGAGUAACUGUUGGUUGCCUUUGGUGGCCAGAUGAUGGUGUGAGAUCCCCUAAACUGGAUUUACUGACAUUUGUGAGUUGCCAUGUGGGUUCAGGAGAGUCAACCUGGUUUCUCUGGAAGAGGAGAUAGUCCUUUUUAUUACUGAGCCAUACCUCCGUUCCCUCUUUCAAAUUCUGUUUUUAAUUCUUCUCUCAUGUAUUACAGCCCAAAAAAGAGAUUUUUAUCUCUCCUCUCCUCAGGGUCAGUCUUCCCUACCUGUCUACUCCCCCCAAGACCUUUCCUGUAUUAUUGUCAUGUUUGUCUCUAAUGUAGUAUCUUGUUUGUUGAGUUUUGUUAUUUGGUUACACAGUCAUUGCUAAAAGAUUUGUCGUAAGAUUUAAAUUUGUGUUUUGUUUUUCAAACGAUUGUAAAGGAAAUUUAUUGUGUUUCCAAAAUAUUGUCAAUAUUAAAAUAUGAAAACUCUCUAUGUUUAUUUAGUGGUUCAGUGGUAGCUAUCAACACAGCAGAAUCCAAAAUCAGCUUGGAGGCAAGUCCUUCGGACAUCUCUGAGGGGUCAUCUUGUUGUUUGAAGAACCAUCUUAAUUGUAACUAAGAACAUCCCCUGGGUGGAAAAUCCUGUAUUGCAUAAAAUGAUGAAGGCAGGAGAAAUGACUUCAAUUCAACAUGAAAUUAAUCCCCCAGACCAUCAUUAGAGUGCAAAGGUGACCUGAGCAUCUGAGCCUUCAGGAAGACAUGCUUCAUGGAUCUCAAUUUGGAUUUCUGAACAGAGAAACAGGUAUCAUCAAUUACUGGUACUUGUAAUGCACAACAUUGCCAUGAAGAAAACGGAAUUAGCACAGAGCAUGCAGAGUACCUUCCAACUCCAUGAACAUUACAUGUGAAGCUUCAAGUUUGGUAUCUGCACAAUUUCUCAAUGGUUGAUGACAGAAGUAUCUCUGAUACGGAGUCUCAGUGUACUUUGUAGUGAGGUUGCAAAUUCAAGCACUAAUGCAAUGCUUCCUGUCAGCCUCCUGAGAAGAUCACACUGGAGACCACUACUCUGAUCUAUGAUAUAAACUGCAAGAACUUUCCUGAUGAGGAAUAGGACUCUGUGUUUAUACCCUUAACCAAUGCUGUAACUGUGAUCUAUGGCAAGGGAAGAACAAGAUCUCAGGACUGGUUCAUCACCUUACUAAGAUAUUCAAAAUUACAUAAUACUAGAAGAACUUUUUUUUCUUACAAUCUUAGAAUGUGGAGGGAAUCUUAUUUAACUAGUGUACAGUUGACAGAGGAUACCUAGGGAGUUUAUUCCCAUGCUGAGAUACCAAUUCCUUACUACUGUCCACAGCAUUCUUAGAUACUUCCUUUUCAAAGUGAGUCUAGCAGAGGCAAAAAGUUCGUAGUCGUUCAUACUGUAAUUUAGAAUUAUACAAAAAGUGUUUAUGCAUAGACAGUGGAUAGAAAGGCUCAAUUCUGCAACUCAUGUGUUAUCUUUGACUUUUUAAAAGGAGCUGUUCACUAGAGAGUAGCUGCAAGGAAUGGAAAAUUUGAUGAGCCACACUGAGGAAGACUGAGGAAGCGGAGAGCUGACAUCAAUUCACAUUAUGGUGUAAUCAUUUUUCUAUAAACGGAAAACCAGAAGUCUCAACUAUCCCGGACUCCUGAGAUCUCUUAGACAUUGAGCCCAACCAGCAUCAUAGAAGAAUUGGUGGGAGGACACUGACACAUAUACAACAGAGGACUUCCUGGGCUGGUCUCAGUCAAUGUCUUUGAAUAACUGUCCAUUGCAUUUGGUGGCCAGAUGAUGGUGUGAGAUCCCCUGAAACUGGAAUUAGUGAUAUUUGUGAGUUGCCUUGUGGGUUCAGGAGAGUUAACCUGGUUUCCCUGGAAGAUCAGACAGUCCUUUUUAUUACUGAGCCAUACCUCCAUUCCCUCUUCUUAAUUCUGUUUUUAAUUCUUCUCCCACGUAUUACAUCUCCAAAACAGAGCUUUUCAUCUCUCCUCUCCUCAGGGUCAGUCUUCCCCACCUGUAUCUCCCCCCAAGACCGUUCCUGUAUUAUUGUCAUGUGUCUCUAAUGUAGUAUCUUGUUUGUGGAGUUUUGUUAUUUGGUUACACUGUCAGUGCUAAAAAGAUUUGUUGUAAGAUUUAAAUUUGUGUUUUGUUUUUUAAAUAAUUUUAAAGGAAAUUUAUUGUGUUUGCAAAAUAUUGUCAAUAUUAAAAUAUGAACAUUCUCUAUGUUUAUUUUGUGGUUCAGUGGUAGCUAUCAACAUGGCAGAAUCUGAAAUCAACUUGGAGGCAAGUCCUUCGGACAUCUGUGAGGGGUCAUCUUGUUGUUUGAAGAACUAUCUUAAUUGUAGCUAAGAACAUCCCCUGGGUGGAAAAUCCUGUAUUGUAUAAAAUGAUGAAGGCAGGAGAAAUGGCUUCAAUUCAACAUGAAGUUAAUCCCCCAGACCAUCUUAAGAGUCCAAAGGUGACCUGACUAUCUGAGCCUUCAGGAAGACAUGCUUCAUGGAUCUUAAUUUGGAUUUCUGAACAGAGAAACAGGUCAUUGGUAGAUAAGUUAAACUUUCAAAAUCAGAGAGGAUCCUAUAAUUCUUAUCCAGUAUUGUAUAGGUAUCAAUUGCACAUAGCUUCUAAUUAGAGAUUUGUGAUGCUUCAGGGGAAAGGUUCGAUGAAGAAAUCUUACUCAGGACAAGUGCUCCAAAGUCUCUCACUGUCUACAAUAUCCAGUUGCAGUUCUCCAAGCUAGUUCCCAUCUACUAGAGGAAGAAGCUCCUCUGAUGUGAGUUAAGUAAUGCACUGGUCUAUGGAUAUAACUAUGUAAUUUUGAGUCACUUCAUUGUAAUGUGACAUUUGCAGAAUUAUACUGGUUUUCUACUAGACCCAUUUUUGGGUUCUUGAGCACAUUAACAGUGUCUUGUAUGAG
rnacentral:sRNA from 1 species